GAGGACUUACUCUUCGGAGUGAGAGCGUACACAGGUGCUGCAUGGCUGUCGUCAGCUCGUGUCGUGAGAUGUUGGGUUAAGUCCCGUAACGAGCGCAACCCUGCAUUCAGUUGCCAUCGGUAAGGCCGGGCACUCUGGAUGGACUGCCGGCGACAAGCCGGAGGAAGUGGGGACGACGUCAAGUCAUCAUGGCCCUUAUGUCCAGGGCGACACACGUGCUACAAUGGCCGGCACAACGGGAAGCGAAGGGGCGACCCUGAGCGGAUCCCACAAAAGCCGGUCUCAGUUCGGAUUGCAGUCUGCAACUCGACUGCAUGAAGUUGGAAUCGCUAGUAAUCGUGGAUCAGCCAAGCCGCGGUGAAUACGUUCCCGGGCCUU
rnacentral:rRNA from 1 species